AAAACAUGCAUUCCAAUUUUGUUAUUCAUGGAAACUUUAUAACAUUUAAAUGUUUUUAAGUGUGUGUGUGUGUCUGUUUAUUAUAUAUAUAUANNNNNNNNNNNNNNNNNNNNNNNNNNNNNNNNNNNNNNNNNNNNNNNNNNNNNNNNNNNNNNAAGUAGCCAGAUCUUUUACUAAUGGCACACAGUGUGCUCCACAGUGCAGCUUGUCCUGGUGAAGAUCCGCCCACCUACACAGGAAGAGUCUGUAUGAUCGAUAUAAAAAGCGACCAAUCAUAGUUUGUUUUGUGUUUAUACAGCUUAGGGGCAGGUUUAUCACAAGAAGUUAAUAUCACAGUAAUAAAAUGUCAUGGAGCAGUAAAGCUGAUCACUUCACAAUCGGUUGCACAGAAAACACCAAAGAAAUUAACAGAAACUUUGUGAUAAUUUCUGUUCCUCCAAAAAGAAAUAAGGAAUAUUUCAUGAACAGAAGUAAAGCAGAUUACAAUGUUUGUCAGUAAUUUCCUUAUUCGCUAAGUGUCUCUAACACAACUGUGAAUGUCUUUCAAAGAUUUGAUUUCACUAACCUGGCAAACUUUAGCAAAUCCAGUGCAUCAGCCCAGUGCCUUAUGAACACAAUUUCAUUUCCAAGUUCGCCCAAACUUCUGUUAAUGGCAUAGAAGCCAGCCAACCAGAUUGGAAUGGGCAAGCUUGUUUUAGACAGCAUUUGGCAGAUAUAUGGCAGUCAGACCGUGGGUGGUCCAUGGGCAUGUAGUCUAAGACUAUAACUACACUUUGUGAGACCCUAUGUUCAUGAUGUAAAUAUUAUCUAGAAGGGUGGGAAAGCUGUCAAAAAAAAAAAAAAAAAAAAAAAAAAAUGCUGUCUGGAAAGUUGUCAUGGCACAAAUCAUCCUGGAAUCACAAGGCUGUCAACCUAGAACCACAGAGAGAAACAGGAAGUAUAUUUAUUAGGCCUAAAGGGAACAGGGAGAUGUUAUUCUGAAGGUUGACUUUUUCACACAGUCAUGUUCCACUGAAACAGCUUUGCUGGAACUAGGUAGUACUAAUUAUAGUAAUAUUCUGUAAGUAUAAAAUUUUGUCAUGUGGCAAGACAAGAUAAAGCAGAAAUGGAAAAGUGCAAUUUGACAAUAUUUACACAAACACUAGACCGGAGAGCCAGGAGCAUCUGCUCACCAAACCACUCACAUUUCUUUCAGUGAUCACCUAAUGCAUAUAGAGUAGUGGAACUAUGAUGUCACUUUGUAGGCAAAAACCCAGAAGCGAUUUUAGCAUUUUAGCACUUCUGGUUCCAUCGUCCCAGAGUCAAUGGGUUUUUUGAAAAUGUAAACACCACAUUUACCGGCUUAGUCAUGAUGAUAGUGAAACUUUUACGAUACAUAGUGCCUAAAGCCACAUUAAAAUUAAAUGUUUAUGGCCCCAUGAAGCUGUUACAGAUUGAGGAUUUUCUAGAAGCAAUGAUAAAAUAACAUUUUGUUUACUCUCCCUAACAAAAUUAUAGCU
ensembl:lncRNA